UUCUUAUCCAGAGAGGCGGAGGGACUGGCCCUUUGAUGCCCGGCAACCAUCGAGUCGAUGAAUACAAUUGACAAGAACGGUGCCAAUUCCUGCAGGAACAAUAUGUUCUUGGAAGAUGAGAG
rnacentral:ncRNA from 2 species